UUCCCCUUUUAGCCUUCAUGUGAGUAUAUAAAAUAGAGAAAGAAGAGAACAAUUUGAAAGAGUUGACAAUGAUUUUGUACAUUUGAGGAGUAGCCUCUUGUCUGUAGUUACUUUUUCGUGCACCCAUAAGGUCCUUGCUUGUAUAGAAGAUGGGGUUUCUCUUACAAAGAAUCAUAUUUUUAUGUAUAUAUUUGUUGCAGUAGUUAUCUGGAGAUCUCAUAUGAUGGAAAUCAAGGCAGACAGAAAUGAUGGAUCCUUGGUUUUAGUCAAGCACGGAGCUGAGGCUGACGUCCAUUGUUUACAAAGAAAUACAGGCAUCUAACUGUGGAAUCAAAGCUUACUCGUGAAGACUUAAGUGGGUUGGUGUAAAUGAUACCAGUUGUAUUCUUUAGUCUCUUCAUACCUCAAAGUUGUGCUGCUAACAAUUUUGAAUAACGGAGUAGGAGGCCAG